GCCUGCCCAAGGCGGCCAAGAAACAUGCCACGAGCUAAGCAGCGGACCGCUCCCAGCUCCCAAAGAUGCCUGUGGCCACGAGGACAAGCCACAGCCUCCACACAUGAUGGCGCCUGGCAACGACUCAGCCUUCAGCGAGCGCUCAGUCUCCCAGAGCGGACACCUGCAGCCUCCCGACCUCCAAGGGCCUCCCGCUGAGACACCCCCAGUGACCACCAAACUCGGUCCCGCAGCUGACGCCCUGCAAGAACACGGCUCCGCCGCUUCCGCCGCGGAGCCCGACGCCAGACGGGACGCCCUUGCGGCAGCAGAGAGUAGGAGCUCUCUCGCCACGCGGGAGGGUACCAACCCCCCGGAGGAAGAGGCACAGGCAGAAACGCCAUCUGCUGCCCCACGUCCUCCCCUGCACGCGCAGGCGACAGCUGAAGAGCUUUCAGAGCCGGCUGAGCUCACCCACACCGAGCACCGGGCUCCCAGCCCUCCCUGCCCACACCUACCCCACAGCGGCCACCAAGGCGUUCUUGCUGGGCCCCACAGGGAAACGGCCCAACGCGAGCCCACCUCGCCUGCUCCCCCCGACUCUGUCGCCCUCGCUCAACACAGCCUCGAGGACCCCGACACGGCACAGAGGGCACAGAGCCGGCCGACAGCGCAAGCAGCCGCGCACCAACCCACCCAGGAGCUUGCCACAGCCGCCACGCAGGGCACAGCGGCAGACGCUCCGGCCACCGAAGCCCAGGACCGGACCACACGGCGCAGAGACAACCCAGCCCCCACGGAUCAGCAAGGGCCUCAGCCCCACGUGCCUGGGGGCAAAGGGGCUGCCAGCGGGGCUGCUACGCCAGCUUCCCCGGGCAGGGACCAUGAGCCAGGGCACCCGGCGCCAUCUCAGGAACCCCAGUGCCCACAAGAGCGGGCCGUGACCGUCCAAGGCACAAUCCCCCACAUCCAAGGCAGGCCGCUGCACCUGUACACAAACGUCCUCUCAGAGAACCUCGCGGUGCUCUCUAUACAAACC
rnacentral:lncRNA from 1 species